rnacentral:rRNA from 1 species
GACGAACGCUGGCGGCGUGCUUAACACAUGCAAGUCGAACGGAAAGGCCCUGCUUUUGCUGGGUGCUCGAGUGGCGAACGGGUGAGUAACACGUGAGUAACCUGCCCUUGACUUUGGGAUAACUUCAGGAAACUGGGGCUCAUACCGGAUAGGAGCUCCUGCUGCAUGUUGGGGGUUGGAAAGUUUCGGCGGUUGGGGAUGGACUCGCGGCUUAUCGGCUUGUUGGUGGGGUAGUGGCUUACCAAGGCUGUGAAGGGUAGCCGACCUGGGAAGGUGACCGGCCACAUGAGGACUGAGGUACGGACCAGUAUCCAACGGGCGGCAGCAGGGGGGAGUAUUGCACAGUGGGCGGGAGCCAGUUACGACGGCGCCGGGAGCGGGAUGCUGUCCUUCGGGUUAAAAACCGCUUUCGACUGUGAUGAGGCGUGAGUGACGGUAAUGGGUAAAGAAGCACCGGCUAACUACGUG